AGCAUAUAGUCAUAAACAAAACAGUGAUGAGUGUGGUAAAACAAGAACCAAGUGGCUGUGAUGCUCCACAUUAGUUCCCAUUUCCUGGACUUACUUCAAUCCUGAGGGGAGGAGAGGCUUCAACGUUGCUACUGCCAGUAUUGUUUCACUUAAAGAACUUCUCCAGUUCCAGAGCUCAGUGAGAGUGUUGGCAAGGCUCGUGAGGGAAAACAGCAGUAAGAGGAGAACCAGAGAGAAGCAGGGCUCGCAGCAAGUGCACGUGCUGCAUCUGUGGCACUUAUAAACGUUCCUCCAAAAACUGCUCAUAGAAGAUUUCGAAGAGAGACCGGGUGAACUUCAUCCUGAGAAUGUUUCCAGUAAUGAGAGAAAACAACAACAACAACAAAAAAAAAACAAAUAAAGGCUAUGUUAUGGGAGACCUGAUGGUGGUG
rnacentral:lncRNA from 1 species